AUUGAACGCUGGCGGCAGGCCUAACACAUGCAAGUCGAACGAGUGGCGGACGGGUGAGGAAUGUCGGGGAAACUGCCCGAUGGAGGGGGAUAACUACUGGAAACGGUAGCUAAUACCGCAUACCAUCGGAUGUGCCCAGAUGGGAUGAGCAAGUAGGUGGGGUAACGGCUCACCUAGGCGACGAUCCCUAGCUGGUCUGAGAGGAUGACCAGCCACACGGGAACUGAGACACGGUCCAGACUCCUACGGGAGGCAGCAGUGGGGAAUAGUGCACAAUGGACGCAAGCCUGACGCAGCAAUGCCGCGUGAAUGAAGAAGGCCUUCGGGUUGUAAAGUACUUUCAUCGGGGAGGCGUUACCCGCAGAGGAAGCACCGGCUAACUCCGUGCCAGCAGCCGCGGUAAUUC
rnacentral:rRNA from 1 species